AGUGCCAGCUUCUUCUCUCCUGGGCCACGGCCAGACGCCUUGAAACACAGAGGGUGGGGACCGAGAAGUCAAGUCAACCAGCACUAAACAAUGCCACCGCAUGAAGCUGGCUGUUACACCACAGCCCCGAAGGGAUCUCUUGGACUCUUGACCCUCAAGGAAAAUGGAACUGGAAGCACAAUAGUUAUUGGCACCUGAAGGCCCUUGCUGCUGUUUGUUGCUCCCGAGAACAGCAUCAGAGAGAUGAACAAGCCUCAGGUUUGGAAAAAGAACAGAAAACAGGGAAGAGGGAAUGGAAAAGCAAGACAACACAACAAACAUACUGCUUUGAACACAGUUUAUGAAUAAUCCCAAGGAGCGGAAAGGCAUGUC